AAAUCAUUGCACGGCUCUGGUGGGAAAAAGAUAUUAUCCUGCGUCGCCAGCGAGACUGGCCGUCGGCAGGUAGGGCCCGGAGGAGCGCUGCGUGGCAGGAUGAUCGCUGAUAAGAGGCCGGGUCCUGCUCCGGUGGCCUCGGGAGAGGGAAGCGCAGCGCAGCGAAGCUAUGGAAACGGCCAGGCCGGGUGCGGGAGCGGUAAUUGGGCCACUCGCAUCACCGCAGAGGUGUUCCAGGAUGGGAAUGUUCACAGUCGUGUGUUAUCCAGUGUCAGCAGAGGGAUGGGAACACCUUGGACUGAGGCAGCUCUUCACCUUUUCAAAGCGGCAAGAGCAGCUGCAGUGGGAGAUUUAUCCUUGAGAAGGGGAGGAUGCAGGGGGAUCCUACAAGGAGGUUAUUGAGAAGACAGCCAAACUCUUCAGAGUGGUGAGAGGAAGAGAGACAACAGGUAUUAGGAAUGGAAGAGAAAAAACGCCAUCCAAAGGUAUCCACGACAAGGAGUGUGAAGUCACUUUGUUCCGUGUCAUCGGGACCAUCCCGGCUGGUGGUGGAAGAUUCGGCUCCUUUCCAGAGACCUCUGAACAGCAGGGAGAAAAAGGGUGAUUGUUCUCUCCUUUUCUCAUAUAUCAACCAGGAUCUAGGUGAAACAGGGUUAGUAGGGGCCAGAUUCAAAGCAAAUCCAAGGAGAUGUCUCUUCCAUGGAGGAUCCUUGAGGAGAGCUCCUCUCCACAGGGCGAGCGGCUGCUCCCAUUUCACACAGGAGGCGUGAGAGUUGAAAUACAGCAGGAAAAAACACAUGGAGAGCUCUUAAGCAGAAAGGCAGCACCUCUCUAGCUCAGAAAACCCUGCUCCACGAAUAUCUGGAGAUCAGGGGAGCAAGGAAACGUUACACAUGCCAACCACAUUUGUAAUCACUUCCCCAGGCACUGGGGACCAGGUCAGAGGAAUGUUUUCUGCCUCUCUGCAACACAGCCCUUAUCUUUCAAGGGAAUUUUUGACUGUAUGGUUAAAUGGUAAAUUAGAAGCCUGAUCCAGAAUGGCUGUCAGGUGCCUUACUCUUAUUUAGGCACCUCAUUCCUGCAAUUUCCAUUCCUUUGCAGAACUGGGCCCUUAAAUUCUGAAGACACUUCAGAAGAUGCUAUCCACUAUCCCACCUUAGCAAAAAGAUUAUCCCAGCAUCCUUCCUGCUAGUCUAUGACCUCUGAGCAUCCUGCCAGUGAUGGCAGCUGACCUGAUGGCUGUUCCUGUGUCGUGUCCCUCCCGGGGCUGCCAGUGCUGGCAGCAGGGAGGCUGCGGAGGGGGUUGGCGUUUCCAAAGCACACUGCGAGGGAGCACCACGCUGACCCACCCGAGCGUGAAUCCAGCCUCCCACUGCUUUAUUUGCCAAAAGCAGCAGGUUUUUUUUCCCCUUCUCUCCACCCAGGCAGCCAGGCUGCAGCUGCCUCCCCUCUCCCGGGCCUGGGGUGGGACUUCAGGUGCAGUCGGACUAUAAAUACUUGGCACCAACACCACUGCGGUUGUGCUGCGGUUUUAUUUGUAGGCUCAGCGUGUGCACGGGCAGGUGUGGCCUUUGCAGAUUAGGGAAUGGGUUUGCACCCUUGUCCUCCCCCUCUCCCUCCCCUCAGCUCUCAAGUGAGGUGAGUGCCAUCAGCUACACCGGAGGGAUAUGGUCAUGGAGUGUGUCCAGGGCUCGGAUCGAUCACGGAGCGUCUCCAGGGCUCAGAUCUCAGUGGCCCAGGGCAAGAUCACACAGGUUGAGCUUGGCAGCUAUGCUGGAAGUGCUUUAUAGCUCCAAAAUCAUUUGAGGAAUGAAGGAAGCAAAUUCCCUGUGAUUUACACAGCCAAUCCCAGAGUGAUGAGGAGGAGUCUGGAGUCACACACGGCACAGGGGUUGCAACGCCUCGGUCAGAACUGGCCACUGGAUGACAUGAAGAGAAAAUACAGGAGGUAAAACUUGUGGCUCUGGGGGGUUUAUUUGCCACAGAGAACAAUUUGCAUUUCUGUUUUCUUCUGCCUGAUAUUCACAGGCAAGACAAAAUUAGCCAAACAACCUUUCUUAGAACUCUGAGAUUUACUGCCCUGUGACUCAACUUCCCCAGCUGUGAUCCAGGGAGAACAAUCCUUUCUUCCCAGUCAGCAGUGUGGGAAAGUUUGUGCACCUCCUCCUUCAGGCAAAGCUCUGUCCAGAGCAUCCAGAUGGGAAGAAACUCUGCACCUGCAUGUCUUUAACCCCAAUUUCAGGACUGAGUGUUUUCCAAACUGCAUGCUAUAGGACCAGGCAGUUGCACGUGCUGGAGACAAGAGGACAUGCUGACUGGGCUGCUGCUGUGGAGAGCACAAACACAGCCUGGUGCCUUCAUCCCUUGGGGCCAGCAAGGGCCCAGGACCUCAUGGAAUCACGAAGGUUGGAAAAGCCCUCCAAGAUCAUCGAGUCCAACUGCUAACCCAGCACUGCUAAGGCCACCACUAAACCAUGUUCCCAGGUGCCACAUCUAUGCGUUUUUUGAAUACUUCCAAGAAUGGUGGCUCCACCAUUUCCCUGGGCAGCCUGUUCCAGUGCCUGACCAGCCUUUCAGUGGAAUCCAGGGUACAAUCCAUUCCAUGCUGAAGGACACGCUGGAGAGCUCAGAGGAAGCCUUGCAGUGCCUUGAUCUCUCUGCUGUGAAAGAGCCACCCAGGGUGGGCAACCCUCAUUUCCAGAGGUCUCUGUGCAGGAAUCUUGGGGUGACAGAGGUGGCUCCUCUCCUUGUGGUGUCUGUAUUGAGCAGAGGAGGGAGGUCACCUGCCAUGAAUCUUGUCACCACCCUGAAGAGCUUUCCCACAUCAUCCCCACUGGGGUGGAAGUGCAGCUGUGAGGUGGCCAGGGCUAAGUGGGACCUGGUGACAUUGCAAGACUGGAAGGGCAGAGCUUGGUGCCACAGCCUGCGGUGCUGGCGCAGCUUAGCAGGCUCCCAGCAAAGCUACUGGCACGAGUGGUCCACUCUGUGUAUUCUGGGCAGUGGGCUGGUGGGGGACUUGGAGGGGGCUGAUUUUACAGCCUGUGCAGCGAUUCCAGGCAAAGCCAUCUCAGGAUCAGACAAAGUUAAAUAAAAAACCGACUCAGUGCCCCAAGCACGUGUGAAGUUGUUUUCUCAAGGGUUCGUCCGAACACCGAAGUUCCCAUUCUCCCAGCAGGAAGAGGAGAGGAAAA